rnacentral:rRNA from 1 species
GAUGAACGCUGGCGGCGUGCCUAAUACAUGCAAGUCGAACGAAACUUCUUUAUCACCGAGUGCUUGCACUCACCGAUACAGAGUUGAGUGGCGAACGUGUGAGUAACACGUGGGCAACCUGCCCACAAGAGGGGGAUAACACUUGGAAACAGGUGCUAAUGCCGCAUAACGGUAGUUACCACAUGUUAACUAUGUAAAAGGUGGCUGUCCUACCGCUUUUGGAUGGGCGCGCGGCGCAUUAGCUAGUUGGUAGGGUAAAGGCUUACCAAGGCAAUGAUGCGUAGCCGAAGUGAGAGGUUGAUCGGCCACAUUGGGACUGAGACACGGCCCAAACUCCUACGGGAGGCAGCAGUAGGGAAUCUUCCACAAUGGGCGAAAGCCUGAUGGAGCAACGCCGCGUGGGUGAAGAAGGUCUUCGGAUCGUAAAACCCUGUUGUUAGAGAAGAAAGUGCGUGAGAGUAACUGUUCACGUUUCGACGGUAUCUAACCAGAAAGCCACGGCUAACUACGUG